UACGUAGGGGGCAAGCGUUGUCCGGAUUUAUUGGGCGUAAAGAGCGUGUAGGCGGCUAGGUAGGUCCGUUGUGAAAACUCGAGGCUCAACCUCGAGACGCCGAUGGAAACCAUCUGGCUAGAGUCCGGAAGAGGAGAGUGGAAUUCCUGGUGUAGCGGUGAAAUGCGCAGAUAUCAGGAAGAACACCCGUGGCGAAGGCGGCUCUCUGGGACGGUACUGACGCUGAGACGCGAAAGCGUGGGGAGCGAACAGG
rnacentral:rRNA from 1 species